UGAUGGCCGCUAGCCUAUACAUGCAGUCGAGCGGACAGAAGGGAGCUUGCUCCCGGAUGUUAGCGGCGGACGGGUGAGUAACACGUGGGUAACCUGCCUGUAAGACUGGGAUAACUCCGGGAAACCGGAGCUAAUACCGGAUAGUUCCUUGAACCGCAUGGUUCAAGGAUGAAAGACGGUUUCGGCUGUCACUUACAGAUGGACCCGCGGCGCAUUAGCUAGUUGGUGGGGUAAUGGCUCACCAAGGCGACGAUGCGUAGCCGACCUGAGAGGGUGAUCGGCCACACUGGGACUGAGACACGGCCCAGACUCCUACGGGAGGCAGCAGUAGGGAAUCUUCCGCAAUGGACGAAAGUCUGACGGAGCAACGCCGCGUGAGUGAUGAAGGUUUUCGGAUCGUAAAGCUCUGUUGUUAGGGAAGAACAAGUGCGAGAGUAACUGCUCGCACCUUGACGGUACCUAACCAGAAAGCCACGGCUAACUACGUGCCAGCAGCCGCGGUAAUACGUAGGUGGCAAGCGUUGUCCGGAAUUAUUGGGCGUAAAGGGCUCGCAGGCGGUUUCUUAAGUCUGAUGUGAAAGCCCCCGGCUCAACCGGGGAGGGUCAUUGGAAACUGGGAAACUUGAGUGCAGAAGAGGAGAGUGGAAUUCCACGUGUAGCGGUGAAAUGCGUAGAGAUGUGGAGGAACACCAGUGGCGAAGGCGACUCUCUGGUCUGUAACUGACGCUGAGGAGCGAAAGCGUGGGGAGCGAACAGGAUUAGAUACCCUGGUAGUCCACGCCGUAAACGAUGAGUGCUAAGUGUUAGGGGGUUUCCGCCCCUUAGUGCUGCAGCUAACGCAUUAAGCACUCCGCCUGGGGAGUACGGUCGCAAGACUGAGACUCAAAGGAAUUGACGGGGGCCCGCACAAGCGGUGGAGCAUGUGGUUUAAUUCGAAGCAACGCGAAGAACCUUACCAGGUCUUGACAUCCUCUGACAACCCUAGAGAUAGGGCUUUCCCUUCGGGGACAGAGUGACAGGUGGUGCAUGGUUGUCGUCAGCUCGUGUCCUGAGAUGUUGGGUUAAGUCCCGCAACGACCGCAACCCUUGAUCUAGUUGCGGCAUUCAGUUGGGCACUCUAAGUGACUGCCGGUGACAACCGGAGAAAGGUGGGGAUGACGUCAAUCACAUGCCCUUAGGACCGGCCUACCACUUGCUGCAUGAACGAACAAAGGGUGCAGAACCCAAGGUUAACCAACCCAAAGUCGUUCCAUUCGAAACAAACCGCACUCCCCCCUUAACUGGAAGCGGGGGGGGUGAAAAAAUAUCUCUGGUGUUACUUUCCGGCCUUUGACCGCCCCCGGCGGGGAGAUUUCAGCCCCACCGG
rnacentral:rRNA from 1 species